rnacentral:rRNA from 1 species
AUCAAUAAGCGGAGGAAAAGAAAAUAACCAUGAUUGCCUUAGUAACGGCGAGUGAAGAGGCAAAAGCUCAAGUUUGGAAGCUCAGUGGUUUAACCACUGCGCAUUGUAAACUGAAAACAGGAUCAAUCAGGUACACCGGGUGAUAAGUUCCUUGGAAUAGGACAUCAUGGAGGGUGAGAAUCCCGUCUUUGACCCGAGUCUAGUAUCUUUUGUAUUGGCCUGUUCAAGAGUCAGGUUGUUUGGGAAUGCAGCCUAAAGCUGGAGGUAAAUCCCUCCUGAAGCUAAAUAAUGGCGAGAGACCGAUAGCGAACAAGUACCGUGAGGGAAAGAUGAAAAGAACUCUGAAGAGAGAGUUAAACAGUACGUGAAAUUGCUUAAAGGGAAGCAUAUAAAGCUAGGAUGCGAUUGUUUUCUUCAGGUUGAGCUUUGGCUUGACUGUUCAGAAGGAUAAUCCGAGACAACAAGAAUUGGAGGAGGAGAAUAAGCUGUUAGGGAAGGUAAUCCUUCGGGAUGUUUAUAGACCUGGCAGUUCGCGCUCUUCUUUCGAUUUGAGGUACGCUUUUUUUAAAGGUUGUUGUCUGAAUGGCUUUAUAUUGC